UACGUAGGGGGCUAGCGUUGCUCGGAAUCACUGGGCGUAAAGCGCACGUAGGCGGCUUCUUAAGUCAGGGGGUGAAAUCCUGGAGCUCAACUCCAGAACUGCCUUUGAUACUGGGAGGCUCGAGUCCGGAAGAGGUGAGUGGAACUGCGAGUGUAGAGGUGAAAUUCGUAGAUAUUCGCAAGAACACCAGUGGCGAAGGCGGCUCACUGGUCCGGUACUGACGCUGAGGUGCGAAAGCGUGGGGAGCGAACAGG
rnacentral:rRNA from 1 species